rnacentral:rRNA from 1 species
GACGUAGGGCGCGAGCGUUGUCCGGAUUUAUUGGGCGUAAAGAGCUCGUAGGCGGCUUGUCGCGUCGACCGUGAAAACUUGGGGCUCAACCCCAAGCCUGCGGUCGAUACGGGCAGGCUAGAGUUCGGUAGGGGAGACUGGAAUUCCUGGUGUAGCGGUGAAAUGCGCAGAUAUCAGGAGGAACACCAAUAGCGAAGGCAGCUCGCUGGGACGUUACUGACACUGAGGCGCGAAAGCGUGGGGAGCGAACAGG